UCACCAUUCAGUUUGACCCUGAAUUUCUUCAGGGAUGGAGCAUGCUCCACCUCUCUGGGCAACCUGUUCCUGUGCCUCACUACCCACUCCACAGAAAACUUCUUCCUCCUAUUCAAUCUAAAUCUCCCCUCUUUUUGCUUGAAAACACUCCCCCUUGUCCUGUUACAUACACUGCUGAAGAGUCUGUUCACUUCUUCCUUAUAGCCCCCCUUUAAAUACUGAAAGGCCAUUAUAAGGUCUCUCCGGAGCCUUCUCUUCUCCGGGCUGAACAGCCCCAGCUUGCUCAGCCUGUCCUCAUAGGAGAGGUGUUCCAUCUCUUGAAUCAUUUUUGUGGCCCUCCUCUGGAUGCGCUCCAGCAGGUCCAUAUCUCUCCUGAGUACUGCGGACUCCACAUCUGGACACAGUACUCCAGGUGAGGUGUCAUCAGCGGAAGUAGAGGGGCAGGAUCACCUCCCUCAACCUGCAGUCCAUGUUUAUUUUGAUGUAGCCCACACCAGGUUGUACCACAUCAAGAAGAUACACUAGCUUGUUCUUUACAAGUUCAUGUAAAAGCAUGUACUUUACAUGUUCAUGCAAACACACCCAGAGAUGUAUGAGGAAGGGUUACCAAAAUAAGUUUACAACUGGUGAGGUGUGCGCUACUCUGACUUGUGCUAUAGUGUGUCCCAGAACCACGAGAAGCCACAGCAAUAUUGUGUGUACCUGGCAGAAGAACUCUGGAAAGCUAUGUCUUACAGACACCAGAUGAAGGCACAUCUUCUGGUCAAGUCUCAUCCCAGGAAAUGUCAUGCCCAUACACAAAUUCACUUCAUAGCUGUGUGGUUAUGAAUAAAGGAGGGUCUUCUGAAGGAUCUCUCUGUAGAGUCUCCUCUCAGACGUACGUCAGGGAUUCUUUCAGACCAACCCAAAACACAGGAAAUACUGACGUCCACCAUCAGGCAACCCUGGCAGUUGUGCUCAGGACCCAAGAAGAGCCUAAGUCUUGCACAGUUGUUGGACAUGGACUGAGCUCAGCCUCCCCUGAGGUGCAGGAGCUAAUUUGUCUGAUUCCAGGAAUAUAUGAGCUCCAGAGCAGUUGCAGAAAUGAGCAUCUGGUGCCCAGGUAA
rnacentral:lncRNA from 1 species